AGUGAAAUUGCUGGAUCAAAUGGUAAUUGCAUGUUUAGUUUUAUAAGAAACUGCCAAACCGUUUUCCAGAGUGGCUGUGUCAUUUUACCUUCCCACCAGCAAU
rnacentral:pre_miRNA from 1 species